UACGUAGGGGGCUAGCGUUGUCCGGAAUCACUGGGCAUAAAGCGCACGUAGGCGGCUAGGUCCGUCCGAUGUGAAAGCCCCCGGCUCAACCGGGGAAUUGCAUCGGAUACAGCCUGGCUUGAGGACGGUUGGGGUGAGUGGAACUCCUGGUGGAGCGGUGAAAUGCGUAGAUAUCAGGAGGAACACCGGUGGCGAAAGCGGCUCACUGGACCGUAACUGACGCUGAGGUGCGAAAGCUAGGGGAGCAAACGGG
rnacentral:rRNA from 1 species